CUGUGGAACCCAAUGUGGGACUUGCAAUCCUCGACUUGUUGGGAAAUCUGGUCUUCCCCUUGCUGUUACUGGGAACUUUGUUCCUUAGAUCUUCAUCACCGAAUACUCCAGGAAGCCCCAACUUGCCUUUUGGACUGGGAAGGUAAUCAGUUAUCAUAGAGAAAUAAAUAAUUCAACACAAAACAUAAUUCUUGUUGAGCUCAAGUAAAAUCUUUGAUAGCAAUGUAGGAACUUAGGCUUACUGGUUCAGAAGAAGGUACGCACACAAAGCAUUGAUGCUUAUGAACUCUGUGCAGGUCAAAAGCCGAGUUUCAGAUGGAACCCAACACAGGAAUCACCUUUGAUGAUGUAGCUGGAGUCGAUGAAGCAAAGCAGGAUUUCAAGGAGAUUGUUGAAUUCCUGAAAUCCCCAG
rnacentral:lncRNA from 1 species